GAUGAACGCUGGCGGCGUGCCUAAUACAUGCAAGUCGAGCGAACAGACGAGGAGCUUGCUCCUCUGACGUUAGCGGCGGACGGGUGAGUAACACGUGGAUAACCUACCUAUAAGACUGGGAUAACUUCGGGAAACCGGAGCUAAUACCGGAUAAUAUAUUGAACCGCAUGGUUCAAUAGUGAAAGACGGUUUUGCUGUCACUUAUAGAUGGAUCCGCGCCGCAUUAGCUAGUUGGUAAGGUUACGGCUUACCAAGGCGACGAUGCGUAGCCGACCUGAGAGGGUGAUCGGCCACACUGGAACUGAGACACGGUCCAGACUCCUACGGGAGGCAGCAGUAGGGAAUCUUCCGCAAUGGGCGAAAGCCUGACGGAGCAACGCCGCGUGAGUGAUGAAGGUCUUCGGAUCGUAAAACUCUGUUAUUAGGGAAGAACAAAUGUGUAAGUAACUAUGCACGUCUUGACGGUACCUAAUCAGAAAGCCACGGCUAACUACGUG
rnacentral:rRNA from 1 species